rnacentral:rRNA from 1 species
UGGGGAAUAUUGGACAAUGGGCGAAAGCCUGAUCCAGCCAUGCCGCGUGUGUGAAGAAGGUCUUCGGAUUGUAAAGCACUUUACGUUGGGAGGAAGGGCAGUAAGCGAAUACCUUGCUGUUUUGACGUUACCGACAGAAUAAGCACCGGCUAACUCUGUGCCAGCAGCCGCGGUAAUACAGAGGGUGCAAGCGUUAAUUGAAUUACUGGGCGUAAAGCGCGCGUAGGUGGUUCGUUAAGUUGAAUGUGAAAGCCCCGGGCUCAACCUGGGAACUGCAUCCAGAACAGGCGAGCUAGAGUAGGGCAGGGGGUGGUGGAAUUUCCUGUGUAGCGGUGAAAUGCGUAGAUAUAGGAAGGAACACCAGUGGCGAAGGCGACCACCUGGGCUCAUACUGACACUGAGGUGCGAAAGCGUGGGGAGCAAACAGG